CCGGUGCGGCUGUGAGGGGCCGCGUCUCGCAGCAGCCGCCCGGGCCGGGCAUGGUGUUGGGCGCCGGGCCCGCCUCGCCUGUCUCGGGGAGCCCAGGGUAAAGGCAGCAGUAAUGCUAACGCUAGCAAGCAAACUGAAGCGUGACGAUGGUCUCAAAGGGUCCCGGACGGCAGCCACAGCGUCCGACUCGACUCGGAGGGUUUCUGUGAGACAAAUUGCUUGUUAAAGAGGUUGCAGAACUUGAAGCUAAUUUACCUUGUACGUGUAAAGUGCAUUUUCCUGAUCCAAACAAGCUUCAUUGUUUUCAGCUAACAGUAACCCCAGAUGAGGGUUACUACCAGGGUGGAAAAUUUCAGUUUGAAACUGAAGUUCCCGAUGCGUACAACAUGGUGCCUCCCAAAGUGAAAUGCCUGACCAAGAUCUGGCACCCCAACAUCACAGAGACAGGGGAAAUAUGUCUGAGUUUACUGAGAGAACAUUCGAUUGAUGGCACUGGCUGGGCUCCCACAAGAACAUUAAAGGAUGUCGUUUGGGGAUUGAACUCUUUGUUUACUGAUCUUUUGAAUUUUGAUGAUCCACUGAAUAUUGAAGCUGCAGAACAUCAUUUGCGGGACAAGGAGGACUUCCGGAAUAAAGUGGAUGACUACAUCAAGCGUUAUGCCAGAUGAUAAAAGGGGACGACUGCAGGCCCAUGGACUGUGUUACAGUUUGUCUCUAACGUGAAACAGCAAGAGGUAGCCCCCUCUCCCGUCCUCAUGCUCCCUCUCAGUCCCCUGGAUUGCCCCAGUCCUGUGACCAUGUUGCCCUGAAGAAGACCAUCUUCAUGACUGCUCAUUGUAGAUGGAGAAUUCAACAUAAAUACAGCAAGAAAAUGUGUUUGGGCUUCUGAA